AUUGAACGCUGGCGGAAUGCUUUACACAUGCAAGUCGAACGGCAGCACGGACUUCGGUCUGGUGGCGAGUGGCGAACGGGUGAGUAAUGUAUCGGAACGUGCCCAGUCGUGGGGGAUAACGCAGUGAAAAUUACGCUAAUACCGCAUACGAUCUAUGGAUGAAAGCGGGGGAUCGCAAGACCUCGCGCGAUUGGAGCGGCCGAUAUCAGAUUGGGUAGUUGGUGGGGUAAAGGCCCACCAAGCCAACGAUCUGUAGCUGGUCUGAGAGGACGACCAGCCACACUGGAACUGAGACACGGUCCAGACUCCUACGGGAGGCAGCAGUGGGGAAUUCUGGACAAUGGGCGAAAGCCUGAUCCAGCCAUUCCGCGUGCAGGGUGAAGGCCCUCGGGUUGUAAACUGCUUUUGUACAGAACGAAAAGGUUUCUACUAAUACUAGGAGCUCAUGACGGUACUGUAAGAAUAAGCACCGGCUAACUACGUGCCAGCAGCCGCCGUAA
rnacentral:rRNA from 1 species